rnacentral:rRNA from 1 species
UGGGGAAUAUUGGACAAUGGGCGAAAGCCUGAUCCAGCCAUGCCGCGUGGGUGAAGAAGGCCUUAGGGUUGUAAACCCCUUUCAGCGGGGAAGAUAAUGACGGUACCCGCAGAAGAAGUCCCGGCUAACUCCGUGCCAGCAGCCGCGGUAAUACGGAGGGGACUAGCGUUGUUCGGAAUUACUGGGCGUAAAGCGCACGUAGGCGGAUUUGUAAGUCAGGGGUGAAAUCCCGGGGCUCAACCUCGGAACUGCCUUUGAUACUGCAAAUCUCGAGGCCGGAAGAGGUGAGUGGAAUUCCUAGUGUAGAGGUGAAAUUCGUAGAUAUUAGGAAGAACACCAGUGGCGAAGGCGGCUCACUGGUCCGGUACUGACGCUGAGGUGCGAAAGCGUGGGGAGCAAACAGG